GAGAACUGAACAUUACAAUAUGUGUGCAUGUUUUAAAUAACAAAAUUAAUAUACAAAAAAUAAAAAAAUAUCUAUAAACAUAAAAAUGUGUUGUACUGAUGCAGAUAGCAUCAAAAUUAAACUGGCCUAAAUUUUCAAUGACACUGGAUAUGUAGUAAUUUAGACUGUGCACUAAGAUCAUAACUGCAUAUGUACAUGUAUUACAUUCAUUUUAAGACAGUUUGUGAAUUUCUGUUCAGUAAUCCAGACGAGGAAAAAACAAAGUACCAAGUGCUGAAGUCGCAUCCUAGCAAUUGUACACAUUUGAUUUUAUAUACAUUAGAUAUAUAUAUAUAAAUAUAUUUUGUAUGAUAAAAAGAAAUGCAGUAAAAUGCCCCCCAUAAUGCAAAUAUUUAUCUUUCUGGGUACGAGUGCAAUUACUGAAGAUUUUGUUUUUGUUUCAACAUUUAAUGAAAAUUUUAAAGAAAUGAAGGCUUCAGGGCGAAUUCAAUUUGAUUUCCAUUAUAUAUAGUUAAUAUUUCCACGACUUGUUCACAUUACAGUGGAAACAAAUGUAAUAAUCCAUUAUAUACCCAAUGGACAUGACAAAUAUUUUUUUUUUAUCAGCACUGAUUUUUAAAUUUGUCCAAGACAUUGAUGAUAUAAAAAAAGUAAAAUCACAAAAAUACUGAACUUAGAGGAAAAUCAAUUCGGAAAGUCCAUAAUCACAUGGCAAAAUCAAAUAAAAAAACCGCAUCAAAAACGAAUGGACGAGAACUGUCAUAUUCCUGACUUGUACAGGCAUUUUCAAAUGUAGAAAAUGGUGGAUUAAACCUGGUUUUAUAGCGCUAACCCUCUCACUUUGAUGACAGUAAUACACCUAUAAUAUAGAUUGCAUAACUAUCUUGCAAGAACUGUACCCAUGAGAUCACUAACAAUGUGAUUUUCCUAGGUAACAUAUUACUUAGGGGCAUAACGUUUUUUACAAGAAUUGAUCGGCACUGAUUUUCAAACUCGUCAAAGAAAUUGUUAAUAUAAACCUAUAAUACAAAUGUUCACAUUUGAGUG
rnacentral:lncRNA from 1 species